GGGUUGCUCCAUCCUGGGGCAGACUCCGGCACUUGCUCCUGUUCAACUCCAUGUGGUUGGUGAUUGCCCAGCCCUCCCAUUUGUCCAGGUCUCCCUGCAAGGCCACUUUAGCCUGAAGGGAGUCAACAACUCUCAAUUUUGUGCUGUUGACAGUCGUAACCAAUACACAUUCAAGUCCUCCAUCCAAGUCUUUUAUGAAAUCAUUAAAGAGAACUGGCCCUAAAAUGGGGCCCUGAUGGAACCCCACCAGUGACCAGCUGCCAGUCUGAUGUGAUCCCCUCUACUACAACCUAUUGAGCCUGACCCAUCAGCCAGCUGUUCACCCAUCACAUUGUUUUUGUCUAGCUGUCCAGGAGCAUACUGUGAGAAACAGUAUUGAAAUGUUUGCAGAAAUCCAAAAAGAUUACAUCUACCAGCUUCCCAUGGUCACCUAGGGCACUUCAGCAGAAUUUCACGUAACAUGAUGAUGUUUGUUACCCAGUAUCAUGUUGUUGGACUGCAGAAACGACAGAGAACCCUAAUGCAAAUAGGUACUUGAAUCAAGCACAUCUCAGCAAGGUAACAUGGAGAGUGAAGACAACAGGAUAGAAGAAAUAAAGAGUGCUAUUUAUUAUUGCUUCUGUGUACGAUGUACGGCACACACUCUUUUGAGACCUAAAGUGAGCAUAAUGGGUUUUGUGAUAAUCAGGAAGAAUACUUCAAUACUUCCGAUCCACUGAAGCAAGUAGAUUACAUGAUGAGUAAGGGAACUGAGUCCCACAGUAACGCAUCACUGAAUCCUAUAAAGUCCCACUGCAACCUGUGGAAGGUCCAUCUCAUUGAAAUAACACAGAAGCACAGAGCUUAAACAAGGACAUCAGGGUUUGAUCCUAUGUAAAACCCAUUUUGCUGCCUACAUAUCAGUGCUAGAGAAGGUGAAUAUUCCUGGGUAAUGUGAUCGUUUUUCUCCUAAAUAAACAAGUAAACACACAAACCAAGAAACACAAUUUCUUUCCAGAUAAACAAGAAUAGUGUUUUUCUGCUUCUUGUUGGGGACUGGAAGAAGAAACCCUUUAAAGUCAAAUUUUAGUGAAUCCAAAGUACUUUUUCUUAAAAUAUGUAAAGAAAUAGGACCAGAAAGCUGCCAGAGAAAGAAGCAGAGGCCGUACUACUGGUAAAUGGGCUCACAUUUCCAAAAUUGUUGUUGCUAUUGGCUUACAUACAUGCCUAGAAGCUCAGAAUAUUGGCUGUCCUAGAAUUGCAACAGUGUUCGGUUUUUUGGUUUGUUCUUUUUCCAAAUAAAUGAUUCAUUAACAAAAAUAGUAAGUAUAAUUCCUAAGAAGAGAUUCGCUUUCAAUUGUAAAAGUUUUUGAAAGCGCCAAAUCAUUUAUUUUAAUGUGACAAUGUGCUCACAUUUGUUACAAACAUUUGUUCUCAUAAACCCUGUACUGUCCCAGACAAACCAUUAAAUAAUGACAUAUAAUGCAUAUUUAUGUGUGUUUCCUUUCCCUGUAACCAUAAAUUCUGUAUUUUCCCAUCAUCUCCUAAAACACAGCUAAACACUGAAUUUUCCAAAAGAACUAAUUAUUCUUUGUUUAAUGGCUCUUAGCUUCACUAGUCUCUGUGCAUCUGAUGAACAGCAGAACAACAGUAUGACAGAAUUUCUACAGAAGGAAGCAAUUUCUGACAUAUUUUGAUCUUCAGUCUUGCACCUACAAUAAAAUGUUGUCUAGCUUCAUCACCUUGCCAGCCUGCACAUCAGACCAGAAGAGGCUAGUGAGAAAACUGUGGAGAAGCAAAGUUGGAAGUCUGUUCAUAUGUGUCUGCUGGCAAAAGCAAAAUAAGUCUAGAUUCCACAGAAAAUAUAAACGGUAGCUAGUCUUCUACCAAGUUAAUAUUCUAUCAUGUAGGCUUUCUUGUGAAAAACCUCAGUUCAUUUAACAAGAAGUUGCAGUGAGAUCUUGUAAGGCAAGUGCAUUAUUAUUACCUUGCUGUAUGACUUGGAAACUUUGUUAAUACUGGGCUAAUAUUCAAGAUCCACUGGAGGUAGUGGAUUAAUGCGCAAAGCCAUUUCCAUAUGGUUACCAAAGGUAUUUUUUUGAAAGCAGAGGUUUCCUCUCAUCUGCAAAACAUUAAAAAGGAUAAACUCAGGAUCAUAUUCAGACAAGACAUACCCUCAGCAGUUAGAUAACCAUCAACAGCAGCUUAAGAUGUUGCCUCAUUAGCACUUAGAAAACAGCAACAUUUUUUUUUUAAUACUGAAGUCCGCAAUAGUAAAAUUAUGGGAGAGUAUAAAAAUCCAAAUGUUCACAACAGACAGAAUUCUUAAAUAUCCACUAUUCCAAACUGCUUCCAUAAAUACGAGUACGGAAGUAACCCCUGACCAGAAAGAAGCAUUUCACAAGAGGCUCAAAUCUUCAUCUUCAUUAAGAAUACAAGUGCAAGUCCAACAGGUAGAAUAUCUGAAGUGCAAACAUCAUAGAUCCAGUUGUCUACAUUACAGGGCUGUCUGCAGAAUUUGUAUUCAGUCUCUUGUAUCACUCCAAGGCGACCGGCUCUCAACUCUUUACAGGGUUUCUAGGUUAAAAUCAAGGACCAUGAACUAUAUCCAGAUACUCACAGUGAAACUUGAAGUCAAAUUGAAAGCUAUGUCCAUCCAAACCUUAUGCAGACUGAUUCACUCCACUAAGCAGGCAGGUAAAACACUGCCUAUAUUAUGAGGUUCUCCAAAAGGCCCUCAGAAGCAGAUCCGCAGCAGUCUGCCUGUCAAUAUUACUCAAGUUUACAAACAGUAAGAGAACAAAAAAUCAAGAAAAAGAUUGAGAAACACUAACUCAAGUAUAUAGUCGUGGUGCCAGGCUCACAAGCCUAAUCCUUACAGGGCACAGAUAAACCUUAAGGGAGAUACAUACUCUUCCCUCAAGGACCUGUCGAUCUCAGGGAUCUGAUUUUAUUGUGGUUUACAUUUGGAGAAUAAAGAAAUCCCACCCCUGUGAUGUGAGGGAGAUCUACCCAGAGUGCAAAUGUUUAUAAUCACAGUAAACUUAUACAGUACUAGUUUAAUAAAGACUAUAAAGCUGCAGUAAUAUAUUGAAUAUUGCAAGAAAAUCAGUUUUGUCUUUCUAUAGAAUACAGGACUUCAGGAAAUUCUAAUCAAAUCAGUUGUACAAUAACUUAAAUUACAUCACCAGGUUAGAGAGUAAUAAUGGACAAAAUGCUAAGUGGAAACUAAUUCUUAUUGAAUGAGUCAGAGUAACACAGUCAGACACAGAUAAAUAUUACAUUUUUCAUGGACGAUUGCUUUCAAUCAUUUUGUCAAUAACAAUGCAAAACACUAGUAAUUAAGGAGGCUCAGCAAAGCUGAGCUUCUUAACUCUGAAAGAUCGAGAUAAUAUUGCUGCAAGAAAAAGAACUGUAUCAUUAUGGAAAAGUCUCUAAUUCUCAAGCUAACUGAAAUUCAGUUAAAUUUGUACUUCAUUUUGUGUAGAAUAACAAGGACUAUACAGAAUUCAAAACAUUUCAGAUCAACAACCUUGAAUAGGACACCAUCUGAUGAAAUUUAUGUGCAAAAGACAAAAAGAAUCAUUACAUCAAGUAACCAUAACUUGUCCUCAACAGCAAUUUCCAUACAUUGUUGUGCAUAUUUAUCGCCCAUCUGUCAAAAACAAGAGUAAGCUGAACAUAACUAAACUCAUGCAUCAACACAAAUCAAAACUGCUAAACAUAAGACAUGCAGAAUUAUACAGGACAAUAUUUAAAAACAUAUAUAAACAGUGCUAUGAAAUGCUCUGUGAGUCAUGUCUGAUUGCAUGGUCCUGGAGGCAAGAACCACUCUUUAUAUUGUACACAUAUAUAAUACAAUGCUAGGCAUCAUGCACCUUGUAUUUGUACAAUACCUACUGUUGUUAUAAAAGCAGCUUAAAUAAUAAACCUGCUGUAAGUUGAAGUAUCCACAAGCGUAAAACUGACAGAAGCAUAAUCAAAUGAAUGUUUUUUUAAUAAGAAAUUACACAAUUGUCUCCUUUGUCUCUAUUGUAUUCAUAAUACAAGCAAUGGUAAAUUUUACUUCAAAAUUACUAAGCAUACUGUAUUGGCGAAGCAGAUCUGCUUUGAACAACAAAGCCGUAAGUCUGGGUUUUACUGGACUAAGUCUAAACCCUGAGACAAAUGACCCUACCCCCAAAUCCUAACAUCCAGCCCCUAAGGAAUCCAAAUUUCACUCUCAGUGAAUGAAAGGAGCCAAGGAUAUGUCUACAGAAUCCAAGGAUUUCUCUAUACUGUAAGCAGAACUGGAAUCAUGUCAUAGCACAGAUAAACCGCAACAGAUUUUAGCUUGGUGGUGGAAUGAGCAUGGAGCUUAGCAUUGCAAGGUAAGGACUAACACAGUGGGCACAUUCAGCACCAAGGGACUGCAGCUACCGGUGCCUGUAGUAGGCAAUUUUGAAACACACUGAAGUACACCUAUACUCUUUUUCCCCUGCAGAUUACAAAAUAUAAUUAUGCAUAAAGUCUGAUUACUAACACACUACAGAAGUAGGUGUUUUAUAAAGAAGAUACAUAGUAAGACAAUGCCAAAUACAUAAGUAGUAAUGAGGAAACUUGAAAGUAUUUAACACUCUGUUUUAGAGGAGUCACCUCUAGAAUCUCUACUGAUAGCCUGUGAAAGGAAAUGUAAGCAGAAGUUUUUAAAAGCAAAAAGAACUAGAAAAUUCAGUGUUAUUUUCCAGAACCACUUGAUCUUUUCCUCUCCUGGAAAGGUUUUCUUUUUCUGUACUCUGCAUAAACUACUAAUGUGAUGCUGAGAAGAGACACCUUUGUAUUAGCAAGUUUAUAUAUGAAGGAACAUAAGAGUCAGUUACUCAGCAGUAGCUAACAUUGCAGAAACACCAGUUAACAUCCAGCUUUUGAAUCUGAAAACUUGCUAGUUUAGGAAGUCCCAUCUCAUUCAGUCACUCUUUCUCCCUAAGCCAAGAAGCCCCAAAGAGAUCGUUCUUACUUUUCAAAAACCUUUUUAGCUGCUCUAAAAACUGGACAGAGAUGAUUUACAUUUUCAAACUCUCAUCAUAGAUUCCAGUUCUACAUUUGCUCUUCCUAUUUUUCAGGUGGCAGAAUGAGUUACCUGGAUUUUAGUGAAAUUUUGGACAGUGGUGUAAACAAGAAUAGUAGCAAAAGCUACAUAUGAAGUAAUUUACCAUGUUGAAACUGAUAUUUAAAAAAAAAAAAAAACCCACGCAGCAAAAACACUGACAUAGGACAGUAUUACAUUCCUUUUUUUUUUUAAUAAUUGUUUUAAAAAAUUAUUUAUUAUUAUUAUUCUCUGCUUUGGCAGCUUUCUUUAGGAACAUUAGCUAUGAAUCACAGAUUAUUGAAUCAUAGAACAUCCUGAGUCAAUAGAGACAUAUAAGUAUCAUCAAGUCCAACUUUGGGCUCCACACAGCACCACCCAAAAAUCAAACCUUUACAUCUGAGAGUGCUGCCCAAACACUUCUUGAAUUCCUGCAAUCUUGCGUCCUGCUGCUGUCACCAGAGAGCGGAGCUCAGCUUCCCUCGUGAGGAGAUGCAGGCAACCAUGAGGCCUCCCCUCAGCCUCCUCUGCUCUGGGUUGAACACACCAAGAGACCUCAGCUGAUCCUCAUACAUCUUUUCCUCCAGACUCUUCACCAUCUUCAUAACCUUCCCUUUGGACACGCUCUUAUAGUUUCAUGUAUAUUGUUACAUCUAAACCUGCACACAGUGCUUAAGGUGGGGUAGCACCAGCGCAGAGAACAGUGGGACAACUACUUGUAAGAGCUGUACACAAACACUUUUUUAUGUAUUUCAUAAUCAGAGAAACAAGAGGUCUUAUUCCUGUGUCAGCUUCCUUAACUUGAAUUUUAAAAGACUUGUUUUUAAAGAGGAGGAACUUCUGGACAACCAUUGAAGGAGGAGAGCAGAGACUCCUGAAAGCAGUUUGCAUUUGAUAUAACAAAGGAAAUGCAAGACACAGCCCAUUUGCAGAACAGUUAAUAAAGGCAAACACACUCUGCGGCAUAUCUGUAACAUCCUUCACACCGCCUGCCCAAUUUACAACCUGGCUGACAUACCAGGCCAGUGUUAAACAACUAAAAGUUCAACAAGAUUUAGAAUGCACCAUACCACACAGCACUAUGCAAAAUGGCACUGAGGGACAUGGUCAGUGGUUACGGUGGGGACGGGCUGACGGUUGGUGAUCUUAGAGGUCUUCUGCAGCCUUAAUAACUCUACGAAACCUCAAGUUGCUGACUUGACAUUAACACUAAAACAUUGCACGUGACUGUGUCCUUAACAAGCGAGCUCUUUAAUAGGUGCCACAGCUAGUCAGCGUCCUUGAAAUCCCGCAUUGGGCAGGAUAGACGCGCUUUUCUCACGAACUCCCAUGGGCCUGUCCGCCUCCCUACAACGACUCCCAGCUCGCCCCAGAGGUGAAGGAAGUCGCUCCGCGGCCCGGCAGCGCGCCGCCAUUUCCCCUCCCCGGGGGCGGGGCGGCGCUGACAUGGCGGGGCGCUGGGACUCACCCGGCCCCGGGUCACGUGAUGCCACCGUCGCGCGCGCUUCCCCCCCCUCCC